rnacentral:rRNA from 1 species
AGCAGCCGCGGUAAUUCCAGCUCCAAUAGCGUAUAUUAAAGUUGUUGCAGUUAAAAAGCUCGUAGUUGAAUUUCGGGGUUAGUAGGUUGGUCAUGCCUCUGGUAUGUACUGGUCUCACUGAUUCCUCCUUCCUGAUGAACCUUAAUGCCAUUAAUUUGGUGUUUUGGGGAAUUUGGACUGUUACUUUGAAAAAAUUAGAGUGUUUAAAGCAAGCUAACGCUUGAAUACAUUAGCAUGGAAUAAUGAAAUAGGACGUUCGAUCCUAUUUUGUUGGUUUCUAGGAUUGACGUAAUGAUUAAUAGGGAUAGUUGGGGGCAUUAGUAUUCAAUUGUCAGAGGUGAAAUUCUUGGAUUUAUUGAAGACUAACUACUGCGAAAGCAUUUGCCAAGGAUGUUUUCAUUAAUCAAGAACGAAAGUUAGGGGAUCGAAGACGAUCAGAUACCGUCGUAGUCUUAACCAUAAACUAUGCCGACUAGGGGAUCGGAUGAUGUUAAUUUUUAAUGACUCAUUCGGCGCCUUA